rnacentral:rRNA from 1 species
AUGCCCAUAGCGAAGAUGGCUGAGCAAAAUUUGUGACGUCGUCUUGGCAUAGUGGAUGGCGCGGAGGAGGUCACCGAGCAUGCCAUUGAUGAGUUCGUCUGCAUGUUCAAGCAGAAGCUCCCCUCUACAGCUGUGGCAGCCCUGCGUGCCCUUUUUCGCCUAGAUUGUGAGGAAGCCGGGGCCAUGGAGGAAGCCCUGAUGCGCCGGGGUGGGAAGGACGCCCUGGACCAGGAGGUACAUGGAGAUGAUCCAGUGAGCUAA